rnacentral:lncRNA from 1 species
AUUAAGAUGAUGACGAUGUCCACUAGAGGACGUUUGAGAAACGUUUUCGCCACCCAUCGCCGUUGUCUUUUGCGUGACAACUCAAAAACAGAAUGUAGGACGCGACUGAACCCAAUUUGACCUUUUCUCUCUUCUUGAACGUCGUAAUGUCGCGGCAACGAGCAAUAACUCUGUAGACUGAACGGCGGUAACAAAAGCAGCAGUAACUGUAACCCAACGGCUAUAGAGGGCAAAUAUCAAGCCACACACAAUAGAAACGACGGCGACCACACUUCUGCCAUUAGGUCAAUAGAAGGGUCCGUCCGACAGGCGUCGCAGCAGAGCUAGGUUGAGGUUCAAAGGAUCUAAGGAAGGAAAGACCUGAAAGAAAGGGCAUCUGACUCUUACUUUCCACUUCGUAUGUUGCCAACAGCUCUGAAAUAUUGCAAGCGUUACGGCGGUGGUCAGCCAUACAUCGUAUAGCAUAUAUCCAAGUUCUCGCGCUGGGUUACGAAUCACCUUGAGGGCCUGUCAGGCAAACCAUCGGGGGGCAAUUUCGCCCCUUGUCUGAGUCAUAUAACUAAUUCCUCGUUCUGUCAUAUUGACAAUCCCAAGCUAAGUAACGUUACCAGAAGAACUAAAUCAACUAUGAGCACGGGUUUAGUGUAAAUAUACGGCUACGCAAAUGAGGGUCGUUUACAUCGCUGAAUUAAGAUUAUUCGUCAACAGAAUGAGAUUAACGAAGUAAUUUACGCUUACUAGAAAUUUAAAAUUGACUUCAUUGGGAACCCGGGCCGCAUGUAUUAAUCUUCAAUGAUCAUAUCAGGCAUUUUAAAGGCAGCAUAAAAUGGCCGUAUCAGCUAUAUAUGUUUUAAUUAUCUACAAUAUUUUACUGCCUAUCCUACUUUCCCAAGCAAGAAAGCAUUCAAACAUAUUUCACACGUUUGCCAUGCCGUAUAUUCAGUAGCAUCAAAGACUGAACUCGGAAGGGUCACGAUUUAAUCAGCAUCGAGAAAUGCUUACAUCUUCUUCUAUUCAUUAAUCUUCUCCCUUAAAAUGAUCCCCACUAUAGGCUUACGUUGUUUGAAAUGAUUUAGUAGCAAAGUUUAAUGUUUUCUAAUUGAUUGAUUUUUCUAUGCUACAGUCCGAGCAGCAGCUCUCAAUCAAGGGCCAACCGUUGCUAUCGUACAGCCGAAGGUUGCAUAUGAAGGUGCUGCUAAACGACUGCAGUUAGGGUUACCUUGGUCCCCAAGCAAAGUUUUCUCGUUCCGUUGGGCGUCAUGGCUGAAAACUAUAGUGCUCCUUAAGGUUCCCUUUGCACCCUGUUGCGUAUUCAAGUCGGUAUGAGAAAGAGACGGAUCUAGACUCAGAGAGCUGUACUAACAACAACAGUAAACGUCUUGAAGCUUACAACGUUUCAAGCUGCAUCCCCGUCCAAGCAUGGCCACUUAACGGUAUUAUGGAUGAUUUGUUGCCGCAUUUUAUGAAGGUCUACUGUAAAUGGCCUCCAAUUCAUCUGAGUACAGUAUCUGUAGGGGGCGCCAGGGGAAGGUUUUCAUGCAUUCAUUUAUGCUUCCUGAUAGACGAGUUUGCACUACUAUACGUCUUCAAGGUUUUUCUAAGAAAUGUCAAAAAUGCUUGUGAGAGUGAUGAUGUCAUCAAGUAUCGCACCGGGGUUGUUGCGGCGAAUUUCGAAGAUUUUCCCGUAAGUAUUGAAGCUUAAAAACGUCGAGUAAAAACGAGUCUGAAUCCGUGAGUCGUAGUGAGCGUGGUACGGCCGGGAGGCCCAAUGAACGUUCAACAACACGCUAGAGAAGGCUUGACCCGAGCUUACAACGUGCGUCUGGGAGUUGCUGAUCUGGUUCGAGGUCUGCCAGCGGCGUAACCGAGACCCAGAGUGGCACGAUACUCUCCAUCUAAUUCCGGCUCAAUGACGCUCCUUUGAAAAAAUGAAGGAGCGAUCUUAUAAGGCCUUUUAAAGUUCUCAAGCGUUAAGGCUUUUCCAGUUUUGGUGUGGUCGAUUAUCGUAUCUCGUGUCAGUCCGGAGGGCGACAUCGGGUAUCGUGAUCCAAGCGCUAGAAGCUACGCAGUGUUUCUUCAGGAGCUUUGGCGCUAUCUUGACCAACGAAGCGAUAUGCUUCCCAUCAUGGCCGAUUGCAGACUACCUACAGCAGAAAUACAGCGGGCCUGAGCAGGACGCUGUUCGAACUGUCUUUCCGCUCUUGGGCCGUACUGCUCGGAAAGCUUUGUGGCUGUGGAAAUGCCAGAAGACAGAGUGUCGCGAAACAGCGCGCAUAAACUACUGCGGAACCGGCGACACCACAUAAAAGCGUGCUUUGAAUAUCGCUUCGAAUUCUCUGCCCCGCGGAAAUCUCCAAGAAGUUGCAGCCACUUUACCAUAUGCCACUUACUCUUGGGGGUCCAUGUCAUAAAGCUAUCGGGUUUAGGUACCCCCGCUGGCUAGGGAACAUACUCCGACAUCGCAGCCGAAUGUAAAGGUGCUGGAAGUGGUUUUCUAGUGCAAUUCUACCAGAGACCAUCAGGGGACUCAGUUAUUAUCCCAAGUACAGAGCUGGGUUCGUCUGCAUUAGCUUCAGGCUACUUCGAGAUGAAUAGAGCCAUCGUAAACAUUUUAUAGCGUGCCAACCCGUCAUUCUGUCCUGUCUUGCUGCUCGGACCCUACCUUUACGGUUCGUCGCUGUCGAAGCGCUUUUGGUUUUGGCCUGCUACCAUCAACAGUAGCAAGAGAACAUUAUCGUCACGGAAGCAAGCGCAUCUAGAGCUUAGCGGACGAUCCCCAGUAACGCUGCCAGCGGCUUCCGUGAAGCGAAGGGCCAGCCCAGACCCAAUGACGCGGCAGACAGGGAGGGAGAGAAGGUACGCGGAAGCUGAAUGAUUAUGCGCGCUGCUGCAUGGGUCACAAUAGAUGUACGAAAAGAGUCACUAAGCAGACGUGGGCCGUUGUGGAAGAGGUCAGCACUCCGUAUUCUGGACGGCAC